AGAGUUUGAUCCUGGCUCAGAACGAACGCUGGCGGCAUGCCUAACACAUGCAAGUCGAACGCUUUUGCGGUUUUGGCCGCAAGGGAGUGGCGCACGGGUGAGUAGCGCGUGGGAACCUGCCCUGUUGUGGGGGAUAACCGCGGGAAACUGCGGCUAAUACCGCAUACGCCCGGUGAGUGAUCAUCGGGGAAAGAUUUUAU
rnacentral:rRNA from 1 species